rnacentral:rRNA from 1 species
GAGUUUGAUCCUGGCUCAGGCUGAACGCCGGCGGUGUGCCUAAUACAUGCAAGUCGUACGCACUGGCCCAACUGAUUAAUGGUGCUUGCACCUGAUUGACGAUGGAUCACCAGUGAGUGGCGGACGGGUGAGUAACACGUAGGUAACCUGCCCCGGAGCGGGGGAUAACAUUUGGAAACAGAUGCUAAUACCGCAUAACAACAAAAGCCACAUGGCUUUUGUUUGAAAGAUGGCUUUGGCUAUCACUCUGGGAUGGACCUGCGGUGCAUUAGCUAGUUGGUAGGUAACGGCUUACCAAGGCAAUGAUGCAUAGCCGAGUUGAGAGACUGAUCGGCCACAUUGGGACUGAGACACGGCCCAAACUCCUACGGGAGGCAGCAGUAGGGAAUCUUCCACAAUGGACGAAAGUCUGAUGGAGCAACGCCGCGUGAGUGAAGAAGGGUUUCGGCUCGUAAAGCUCUGUUGGUAGUGAAGAAAGAUAGAGGUAGUAACUGGCCUUUAUUUGACGGUAAUUACUUAGAAAGUCACGGCUAACUACGUGCCAGCAGCCGCGGUAAUACGUAGGUGGCAAGCGUUGUCCGGAUUUAUUGGGCGUAAAGCGAGUGCAGGCGGUUCAAUAAGUCUGAUGUGAAAGCCUUCGGCUCAACCGGAGAAUUGCAUCAGAAACUGUUGAACUUGAGUGCAGAAGAGGAGAGUGGAACUCCAUGUGUAGCGGUGAAAUGCGUAGA